AUAGAGGUCUGGGAGCGUGGUUGGAAUACUGAAUCUCUGCAGCAUUUUCAAAAUUUGGGUACUCUAGAUUGGUUGCGGAAGUGUAGUGAUUUUGAAGGUCAAGUUUUCGGUAAUUCUUCUCCCCUGCAGCCCAUAUGAAUUUCCUUAUGGUGGAUAUACGUUGGAGGAAUGACUUUAUUUUUAAUGGGAGACGUGUUCCUAUUGUUGUCAAGCUACACAUUCUUCGUUAGCAACUAAUGUCUAAUGCUACAGCUCGGUAGAAGUGUAGUUUGGGAUCUAAUACUAUUGCUAGGAGUGUAAUUUUUGUUGCUUGGAGCCCUUCAAUGGUCGGGUGGCGGAAGCUAAAUUUGGUUGGGGACUCCAAAGGUAAUCCUGGUCAAUGUGGAGGAGGACGUGUUUUAAAGGAUCAUCUUGGUAUUUGGAAAGCUAGUUUCAAAGUUAGAUUGGGCAUCCGUAAUUCUGUGGAGGCUGCACUUCAGGCUUUGAUUCAUGGUCUUCGUAUAGCCUAGGAUUUAUGUUGCAAAAUAUUAGUGGUGGAGAUGGGCAGCAAAUUUCUAUGGAUUUGAUUACUGAUAAGGGAUUGAUGAACCUGAGAUAUGCCAAUCUUCUCUCAUAGUGUCAUCACCUUUUGGAACGCUCCUGGGUAGUGCAGGUUCUACAUUGUUUUCGUGAAGGCAACCAAGUAGCAG
rnacentral:misc_RNA from 1 species